UACGAGGGGGCGAGCGUUGUUCGGAAUUAUUGGGCGUAAAGGGUGCGUAGGCGGUUUGGUAAGUCUUGUGUGAAAUCUACAGGCUCAACUUGUAGUCUGCACGAGAAACUGCCGGGCUUGAGUGUGGGAGAGGUGAGUGGAAUUCCUGGUGUAGCGGUGGAAUGCGCAGAUAUCAGGAGGAACACCGGUGGCGAAGGCGGGUCUCUGGGCAACAACUGACGCUGGAGGAGCGAAAGCGUGGGGAGCGAACAGG
rnacentral:rRNA from 1 species